rnacentral:lncRNA from 1 species
ACUGAUGUUUCCUGCUUGAGGUGGGGGAGGGGCGUCUUCUCUUCCCGCGUCCGGAACCCCGCGUCCCGAGUUCCCCGUGGUUCUCUCGCACCCAUCGCUCGGCGGCUUUACGCCACAGGGUGAAUUGCGACCUCACCCUGCUCCCCCUGGCUGGACUCUAGCUUCGCCCAGGCCCCCUCCAGAAGCAUGAGUCGGACCUUGUUUCAACAAGCAGAGUAUGUCUGAGUCAGACAUUUUGAGGCACAGACUCAGCCAGAGUGCUGAUCUUAUGAUUGAUGCGAUGACUUCAUUGGGCAAACUGGACUGCUGAUAUAUUCUUGAAGUGUUUUCAAGUGGAUCGAGCUGCCGCUGCUAACCUGUGAACUGAACUGCCAAUUUCCAGACAACACAAACAGGAGUUGCUCCAAAGAACCUUUCUAAACAGGUCCACUUCCCCCCUGUAUCCUUUCUUUUCCACUACCUCUGGUGGGUGAUGGGCUACAAGAGAGGUUAAAAUGUUUAAAACCCAUCAUUAAAAAUAGGUUUUUAGGGCUGGUGAGAUGGCUCAGUGGGUAAGAGCACCCAACUGCUCUUCUGAAGGUCCGAAGUUCAAAUCCCAGCAACCACAUGGUGGCUCACAACCAUCUGUAACAAGAUCUGACGCCCUCUUCUGGAGUGUCUGAAGACAGCUACAGUGUACUUACAUAUAAUAAAAAUAAAUAAAUCUUAAAAAAAAAUAGGUUUUUAAAAAAUUAAAGUUGGGGGGCUGGAGAGAUGGCUCAGUGGUUAAGAGCACCGACUGCUCUUCUGGAGGUCCUGAGUUCAAAUCCCAGCAACCACAUGGUGGCUCACAACCAUCUGUAACAAGAUCUGACGCCCUCUUCUGGAGUGUCUGAAGACAGCUACAGUGUACUUACAUAUAAAAAAUAAAUAAAUCUUAAAAAAAAUUAAAGUUACAUGUAUGUGCCACAAAGGGGGCAGCUUGAGGGAGUUGCUCAGUUCUUCCCCUUCUAUGUGGGUCCCAGAGAUCAAACUCAGAGCAAGCUUGGUGUCAAGCACACUCACCCACUGAGCCAUCUGGCUGCGGACUUUUUUUCUUUUAGACAUUUGAGAUGUAAAUCUAUUUUAUUAAAUAUGUUCGAACCAUUGUAUAAUCAUCCCCAGUAUCUGGUUUCUGAACUUUUCAUCUUAAACACUGAAACUGUCUGCAGAACCACCAACUACCCUUUCCCAUGCCCAUAACUCUCAUACAGCCCUCAUACAACCACAAACAACCCUUAUACAACCCCCACACAGCCCUCAUAUAACCCUCACACAACACCCACACAGCCCCUACACAGCCCCCACACAGCCCUCAUAUAACCCUCACACAACACCUACACAGCCCUUACACAACACCCACACAGCCCCCCCCACAACCUUCACAUAGCCCUCACACAGCCCUCAUAUAACCCUCACACAACACCCACACAGCCCCUCCACAACCUUCACACAGCCCUCACACAACACCCACACAGCCCCCACAUAGCUUUCAACACAGCCCUCAUCUAACAUCCAGGAGUACUACUCUACUUUGAUCUCUAUGCACUUAACUAUUUUAAAACAGAAAUAUCACUUUCUAUUUCCUGUUUUUAAAGUACACUUUUUGUUUGCUUGCUUGUUUGUUUUGUAUUUUGAGACAAGGUUUCUCUGUGUACCCCUGAAUGUCCUGGAACUCUGUCGACUAAGGCUGGCUGUGAACUCAGAUCUGCCUGCUUCUGUCUCCAAAAUUCUGGGAUUAAAGAAGUAUGGCAGGAUGCCCUGCUGCUGUUUCUAUUUUA